AUUGAACGCUGGCGGCAUGCUUUACACAUGCAAGUCGAGCGGCAGCGCGGGGCAACCUGGCGGCGAGCGGCGGACGGGUGAGUAGAGCAUCGGAACGUAUCCCGUAGUGGGGGACAACCCAGCGAAAGCUGGGCUAAUACCGCAUAUGCUCUACGGAGGAAAGUGGGGGACUCGCAAGGGCCUCACGCUAUGGGAGCGGCCGAUGUCCGAUUAGCUAGUUGGUGGGGUACAGGCCCACCAAGGCGACGAUCGGUAGCUGGUCUGAGAGGAUGAUCAGCCACACUGGGACUGAGACACGGCCCAGACGCCCACGGGAGGCAGCAGUGGGGAAUUUUGGACAAUGGGGGCAACCCUGAUCCAGCCAUGCCGCGUGCGGGAAGAAGGCCUUCGGGUUGUAAACCGCUUUUGUCUGGGAAGAAAAGGCCUCGUCUAAUACACGGGGUUCUUGACGGUACUGGAAGAAUAAGCACCGGCUAACUACGUGCCAGCCGCCGCCGUAACAC
rnacentral:rRNA from 1 species